GGGAGUGUAGCUUAGUGGUAUAGCGCCUGCCUGGAAAGUGUGAGGUCCUGAGUUCAAUUCCCAGUACCA
rnacentral:tRNA from 1 species